ACAGACCUGAGUACGGCAGGACUACCCGCCGAACUUAAGCAUAUUACUCAGCGGAGGAAAAGAAAACAACCGUGAUUCCCUCAGUCAGCGGCGAGCGAAGAGGGACCGAACUCGUUGCCGAAUCGGGUCUUAAAGGCCUUGAGUUGUGGCAAAAACGCUGCUUUGUGAUUGGUGCGGGAAUGGCGAAAUUCAAGCGCAAAGCAAACCCAUUGCUGAAUACAACCCUUCAUGUGAGUAUUGAGCCAAAGAAGGUGUUAGCCCAUUGAGCCAUGAACCCGAGCAUCUCAUUAAGUAGUUCCAAGAGAGUAGCACUGUUUGGGAAUGCAGUGUCAAGCGGCAGGUAUGUGUCUGCCAAAGUUAAAUACAGAGUAGGAAGACCGAUAGCGAA
rnacentral:rRNA from 1 species